rnacentral:rRNA from 1 species
UACGUAGGGUGCGAGCGUUAAUCGGAAUUACUGGGCGUAAAGCGUGCGCAGGCGGCGCGUUAAGACAGGUGUGAAAGCCCCGAGCUUAACUUGGGAAUUGCGCGUGUGACUGGCGUGCUGGAGUGUGGCAGAGGGAGGUGGAAUUCCACGUGUAGCAGUGAAAUGCGUAGAGAUGUGGAGGAACACCGAUGGCGAAGGCAGCCUCCUGGGCCAGCACUGACGCUCAUGCACGAAAGCGUGGGGAGCAAACAGG